UAAUUUAAAUCUAAAUAUAGAAAUACACAGGAUAUUGGUUAUAUAGAUAUUAAUAGGAACGAUAACAUUUAAAAAAUCAAAACUUCAAAUCGAAAGGAAAUUGGUAAAAAAUACGUCCGGGUAACGUAAAACAGACAUGUCGCACAGGAGAAAUGGUGUGACUUACUAUGAAUGGAAGUCAGAUGUUUUCCACUGUGGGCAUGUUGCUAUAUGCCUUAGUGAUGGCACGCACAUCAGUUAUUGGCAGAAAUCGCCAUGCUCUAGACUUCUACUAGCUGUAGGAAUGAGUCCUCUGAAGAGUAAUAUCUUCAUCCUGUUCUUUGAUUAUAUUAUAUCAUGGUUCCUACCUUUCACUGAUAACAAAACGUUCAUCAAAACGUAUACACAAGAUGCCAGCAUAAUGGGACGAGAGGCUGAUCGUAGAAUUACUUUCCAUUCUGAUUUUCUCAAAGAGGAUGAAAUUAAAGAAUGGUGGUACGAGAACUGCAUGCUAUCGUAUGGUCUAUUUGGACGAAAUUGCGCGACUGUUGUUUUCCGUGCUUUGCAAAAAGGUGGUGCCACAACUUAUCAAUGUGAUCCUGAAUAUUCUAUCUGGACUCUUAAAAGAAUUUAUGAUUAUUGCGAAAAACUGCAGUGGAAAAGUUAUCGUUUACAAACCGGAUCAAUCGACAAACCUGUUACAGAUUUUGAAUACAUCUUAAAUGGAUUAAAGCAUAAAGCUCAAAUAGCCCAAAAAAUAAAGGAAGAAGUUGAUAAAAGGAAAGCAAAAAUAAAGAAAAGUAAAAAGGAAACUAGCAGUGAUGAAAAGUCAGAGGAAACAAAAUCAAGUGAAGAAGAAAAUAGUGAACACGAGGAAGAAGAUACAAAUGAGUUGCAGAUUGUUCCAGUCGUCAAUGGAGACACGGAACAAGAACACAACACCGGGGAAUCAUGGAAACAAAAGACACACAAGAAAAAAAAGGGCAGACGCAAAUAAUUGUGGGUUUCUUUGACCCUGUAAAUUUGUCAAAAUUGAAUUAAAAUUGUAUGAUACCAUUAAAAAUUAUAUUUUUAUAAAUACGGAAAAAAGCCCUAGGACUUAUUCACGACUGUUAAAUACUUAGAUCUUAAAGACUGUUUAAGUGAUAAAUAUAUUAUGUGCUUUUUGUUAUCUUUUUAUGUGAUUGGUUCGUGCACAUGAUAAUGAUUUAUAAUUAUUUGUUUUCGUGCUGAAUUUUUCUUUGCUUGUUACCAUUUUAGAUUUUUUUCAUGUUCAGUGGUUAGCUUACUAAAGCUUAUCUUUUGUAUCAAUUUGUCGAAACAGAAUAAAGUUUUACUGACGUACUUUUA